rnacentral:rRNA from 1 species
UCAGGUGGUUAUGGCGGCAGGAUUCCACCUCUUCCCAUUCCGAACAGAGAAGUUAAGCCUGCUUGCGCCGAUGGUACUGCAAUGCAAUGCGGGAGAGUAGGUAGCCGCCUUUU